AACGAACGCUGGCGGCGUGUUUAAGACAUGCAAGUCGCACGGGAUCAUUUUGGUAGCAAUACUCGGAUGGUCCAGUGGCGCACGGGUGAGUAACACGUGAAUGACAUGCCCUGCAGAGGGGGAUAGCCCAGGGAAACUUGGAUUAAUACCCCAUGGUAUCGCGAGAUUAAAGGGUGGCCGCAAGGCUGCCGCUGCAGGAUUGGUGCGCGUUCUAUCAGCUUGUUGGCGGGGUAACGGCCCACCAAGGCUACGACGGAUACCUGGUCUGAGAGGACGAUCAGGCACACUGGAACUGAGACACGGUCCAGACACCUACGGGUGGCAGCAGUCGAGAAUAAUUCACAAUGGGGGCAAACCUGAUGGUGCAACGCCGCGUGGAGGAUGAAGGUCUUCGGAUUGUAAACUCCUGUCAUCCGGGAGCAAGACCUGACGGUUAACAGCCGGCAGGGUUGAUAGUACCGGAAGAGGAAGGGACGGCUAACUUCGUGCCAGCCGCCGCAGUAA
rnacentral:rRNA from 1 species